AUUCCACCUUUUCAUGCAGAGUUCUUUUACCUGUAUGGAUGUUAAGAUGGAGGAGACAUCGUAAGUAGGACUCCAACGAUUCUGAAGAAUAUCCAGACAUAUACUACCGUCUGCAUAGACUAGAAAAGGUUCAAAGAGAACAGCUUAAAACAGAAGUUGUACAGCUACUGCCUUUUUCCUGCUAUUGCCUGAUGCUGAAAACCUACAUUCAGACAGACACUACAACAGUCCAUAGCAUCUGACAGACUGCAAUCCAGCCAACAGGCCUGCAGAUCAGCAAGGACCUGCAGUAUCUCCCAGGGACUCCUUUCUUUGUAAGGAGAUAAACUGUAACACUGAGUGGCAAGAAAUGAAGGUCAUUGCUUUGACGUUCCAGUUUGCAAAUGAAGACACAGCACAGAUGCCUCAGUGCUUUCCCUGCAGCAGUGGGAAGUCUCAACACCCCAAAAAUAAGUUUUUGCAUGUUUGUUUUUUAUUAGCAGCCUAACAACAUAAGAGCACAAAGCCAAUACCAUGCUAUCUUAAUGUGAAACAAAAAAAACCAGAACAAUA